rnacentral:tmRNA from 3 species
GGGGACGCACUGGUUUCGACGGGGAUGUGGAAACCAAAGUGGCAGGUCGAGGCGCCGCUGGCCUCGUAAAAAGCGGCAACAAUGUAAUUGCAAACAACAAUUACGACUACGCUCUUGCUGCAUAAGUAAUAGCGUACCUGGCUAUUUAAAUAGCCACGUCAAUCCUGCUGAUGUCUGAUAAGCUGGUGCGGCGACAAUCAUCAGGCUAGCAGCCUAUUGUGUUUACUGGAUAGUCUGCGAAAUUAUUACAGUAAACUUGUUUUGAUCUGCCUGGCUAAGGGCUAGAAUCAAAAUAAGAUGUAAACUUAGCCUAAACCUGUAGAUACUUUGUGUGGAACUUUCUCGGACGCGGGUUCGAUUCCCGCCGUCUCCACCA